rnacentral:lncRNA from 1 species
GUGGUUAAAAAAUAUGGUGACAGGGCCAUCCAGCAGAAAGGCAGAUUCAUAAAAAUACAUAUUGUGUCUUUAUCAGCCUCAUUCACAAAAUCGAGCACUGUGUGACUUCUGGCUCUUCCGCAAAGUCAAAAUGACCGUGAAAGGGAAACUUUUAAAUUGAUCCAAGACCUGGAGGCAGCCACAACAGUGCAACUAAAGACAACAGUGCAACUAAAGUCCUGAAAGAGGACUUCCAGAACCACUGCAGAAAGUGGCAAGGACACUGGGAUAGGCACAUUGGAAGCAAAGAUUGUUCUUGGAUGGGACCCAGGCCAUGGACCACACUUUGGGGCACUCUGAUCUGGAGAUGCUGGGAUGGGAGAGAAGCUGGGUGCUGAAGACAGAGCUCAGGAAGGGUUCAAGAAGGAGCAGUGGGGUCGGCUGAAGGAGGAUACAAGGGGGCUGUCAAAGACCUGAAAAGAGACACCUAGUAGAAGGUGCAUGGCACAGGAACAGUGCUUGAUGGACAAUUUGAGCUCUAGCA